rnacentral:hammerhead_ribozyme from 1 species
GCACUGCUGAGGAGUCCCACAACAGGACGAAACGGCCGUUCAGUGA